rfam:Pristionchus pacificus strain PS312 contig5367, whole genome shotgun sequence.
GCACAGGUAGGUCAGUGGUAGAACUCCUGCCCGCUAAGCGGAAGCCCCGGAUUCGAUUCCCGGUCUGUGCA